UCAUUUGGUCAGCGUGACAUUACUUGACAACGUCGUGAGGACGUCGUGGUAACGUUCCAUUUUUCAGAAUUUUGGCUAAGGUCCCAGAAACGUCCUGUGCACGUCCUCAAAAGACGUCGCUAGUUAGUCGCAUGGGAACGUUGUAGCGACGUGGUCAGCUGGUCUCCAGAUAACUUUUCAUAUUAUUGCACUACAUGUAUUUGGCCUAUCUUUUUAAGGUGUAUACCAUUUGGAUAGCCUAUAAUAAGGGAAAUAUACUGAAUUAAUCAAGCAUUUUGCAUGAUGGCAUGAAUUGUUAUAGAAAUAUAAUAAUUAUGCCGUCAUUUAAAAUGUAGAUAUAUAUUUGUCAUCAAAUUAAUGACAAAACAAAAACCAAAUAGUUUGUUAGCAAAUAGCAAUAAUUUAUGCUUGUGAAUGACAGAAGAAAUUUAUUGAAAAACGGCAUGGGACAAGUGAACAUUUAAACCAGCGCACGUCACUUUUUGAGUGCUGCGUAAGUGCGCGUGCCCGUCACUUUAACGGUCAACUUCCAGCAGACGGACACGAAGGAAAAGGUCCUGACUGCCAAUGAACCAGGCAAUGAUUCACAGGUGGAGAGAUAGUCUGGGCAGCACCAAGCCGACAACUAUUAUGAUUAUGAGUAGGGAUGAUUAUCGAGAACAGGUACUGAUUUGGCUCCUGACUUGUUCAGUACUGAAAAACUGAUAUAAGCUACAGGACCAGCAAUGCUGCUAUUGGUGUUUUUGUAUUGUUGAUUCUUUCCUCUUUAGACAUAACUGCAUAUCAUCCAAUCCAUCUCCAAAUGAAUGGCUGCAAGGAUCCAGGAUCAAGAGAUAAUCCAUCAUGAAAACUGUUUCAUAGGAAUCAGCGAAUCCUGGGUGACAAACUAAACCUCAUUGUUUCAGUGACACUCAGGCACAACUAUAGAUUUAAAUUGAUUUUAGUGGCUUAUAUGUUUAUAUUUCAGGCCUGCCUGACCAUUCUGUUGCCCUAGAUGUGAAGACACGCUGGAACUGCAUUUCUCAUGGUUGAAAGAGUUGCGCAUCGAUAUCCAGACAUACAAGAAGCCUUCCUGGACCCACACGACAAAAUGCUCAGGAGGAGAGGCAGGAUUUUUUUGAGACUAUGGAGGAUAGCUGGACCUUGGUCUGCCUGGGGGAUCUGGGGCCAUGGCCUUGUAUUCAAAGGAAAGGUGAAAAAUGAGGAAGUCUGGGAACCACUGAAGAAGGCAGCCGUGAGGGACGGAAGUAAUCAUCAGAACGUGCCAGAGAACGAUAUUGGCAGUACAGGCUCAGGAUGGCGAAGAGGAGGAAGAACAUGUUUGACAUCAGAGUACUCGGGUACUAUGGUCCUUUGGUAAUGACAAUAUUGUUUAGGUUUUGCUUUUGAUAGUGAAGCAGUAUUGAAGCACAUCACCAUCAGAUAUUUGUAGCAGGUGUUUCAUACACAGGACACUCAGGAAACAAAUUAACUUAAAGUAAUAAAGAAGUCACUACUGAAUUGUUUCCUUUCUUUUUUUUUUAUCAGUGUUUUUUUUUUGUACCAGAUUAUAGGGAGUUGUCAAUGAGUAUUGAUAAUUAUUGAUCAUUUUUACAGAUAAAAUCGUUAACUAUACCCAUCAGUAAUGAGAAACUUUUCAGUAAAAUUAAAACAAUUCAGUAAAAUUUACAUGAUUUAUGUAUUGAUGUGUUCAAUUAUCUGUGCUCAUGACUUGGUAACACUUUGCAUGGUUAAAGAAUAGGUGUAAUGUUCAAAAUGUAUUGGCUUAGUGUUUGUAGAAAUAACACUGAAUAAAUGCUGAUUAAUAAAUGAAUGCACUGUUUUUGCUCAUUUAAUGUUUAGAAUGUAAUGUUUUUGUAAUGGUUUGCAUGUAUGUAUUGAAUAUAUUCACUAAAAUCUCCUAUAACGAUUAAAAAACAUUAGAAUUAAGUGUUUUAUUUUUUAUAGCAGAAAAUGUUUAUGAGUUUGUCAUUUAUAUACCGAUUUAAAGGUGGUACGAGCACAUCCUCUGGACCAGACUAAAGGUGAGAAGUAAAAAUUUAAAAUAUAAGGAACGUGGUAGUUUGGUUGUUAGGACGUACUAGUUUGGUCGUUAGGACGUACUUGUCACGUCCCACCAACGUAACACUGUAACGUCGCCACGACGAAUAUGGGAAUCACAAAGUUACGUUGCUGGUACGUUAUUUGGGACGUCGCUGCGACCAAUCUGGUCCUUUAGAGUCACGUCCUCACAACGUGCUAGUUUGGUCCUUGAGA